GAACGCGAAAGGGGCUUCGGCUCUGAGUAGAGUGGCAAACGGGUGAGUAACGCGUGGGUGACCUGCCCUUGAGUGGGGGAUAACGUUCCGAAAGGAGCGCUAAUACCGCAUGACAUCCUGUCCUUGGAUGGGUGGAGAUCAAAGCCGGGGAUCGCAAGACCUGGCGCUCGAGGAGGGGCCCGCGUCCGAUUAGCUAGUUGGUAGGGUAACGGCCUACCAAGGCGACGAUCGGUAGCCGGCCUGAGAGGGCGGACGGCCACACUGGGACUGAGACACGGCCCAGACUCCUACGGGAGGCAGCGGUGGGGAAUUGUUCGCAAUGGGCGAAAGCCUGACGAAGCAACGCCGCGUGGGGGAUGAAGGUCUUCGGAUCGUAAACUCCUGUCGACCGGGACGAAAGUAGGAUGGCCUAAUACGCCGAUGUAUUGAC
rnacentral:rRNA from 1 species